rnacentral:rRNA from 1 species
AUUGAACGCUGGCGGCAGGCCUAACACAUGCAAGUCGAACGGUAACAGGAAGCAGCUUGCUGCUUCGCUGACGAGUGGCGGACGGGUGAGUAAUGUCUGGGAAACUGCCUGAUGGAGGGGGAUAACUACUGGAAACGGUAGCUAAUACCGCAUAACGUCGCAAGACCAAAGAGGGGGACCUUAGGGCCUCUUGCCAUCUGAUGUGCCCAGAUGGGAUUAGCUAGUAGGUGGGGUAACGGCUCACCUAGGCGACGAUCCCUAGCUGGUCUGAGAGGAUGACCAGCCACACUGGAACUGAGACACGGUCCAGACUCCUACGGGAGGCAGCAGUGGGGAAUAUUGCACAAUGGGCGCAAGCCUGAUGCAGCCAUGCCGCGUGUAUGAAGAAGGCCUUCGGGUUGUAAAGUACUUUCAGCGGGGAGGAAGGGAGUAAAGUUAAUACCUUUGCUCAUUGACGUUACCCGCAGAAGAAGCACCGGCUAACUCCGUG